AGAUUAAACAUAAGAGUUUGAUCCUGGCUCAGAUUGAACGCUGGCGGCAUGCUUUACACAUGCAAGUCGAACGGCAGCACGGAGAGCUUGCUCUCUGGUGGCGAGUGGCGAACGGGUGAGUAAUGCAUCGGAACGUACCGAGUAAUGGGGGAUAACUGUCCGAAAGGAUGGCUAAUACCGCAUACGCCCUGAGGGGGAAAGCGGGGGAUCUUAGGACCUCGCGUUAUUUGAGCGGCCGAUGUUGGAUUAGCUAGUUGGUGGGGUAAAGGCCUACCAAGGCGACGAUCCAUAGCGGGUCUGAGAGGAUGAUCCGCCACAUUGGGACUGAGACACGGCCCAAACUCCUACGGGAGGCAGCAGUGGGGAAUUUUGGACAAUGGGGGGAACCCUGAUCCAGCCAUGCCGCGUGUCUGAAGAAGGCCUUCGGGUUGUAAAGGACUUUUGUUAGGGAAGAAAAGCUUGGUGCUAAUACCACCUAGUGCUGACGGUACCUAAAGAAUAAGCACCGGCUAACUACGUGCCAGCAGCCACGGUAAUACGUAGGGUGCGAGCGUUAAUCGGAAUUACUGGGCGUAAAGCGAGCGCAGACGGUUAAAUAAGUCAGAUGUGAAAUCCCCGAGCUCAACUUGGGACGUGCAUUUGAAACUGUAUAACUA
rnacentral:rRNA from 1 species